rnacentral:rRNA from 1 species
AACGUACGCUGGCGGCACGCCUAACACAUGCAAGUCGAACGAAGUAGCAAUACUUAGUGGCAGACGGGUGAGUAACAUGUGGGUAUCUGCCCUUUGGCCUGGAAUAACACGAGGAAACUUGUGCUAAUACCGGAUAAGUCUUUACGGAGAAAGCUUUAUGCACCAUUGGAUGAGCCCGCACUUGAUUAGUUUGUUGGUGGGGUAAUGGCCUACCAAGACUGUGAUCAAUAGCUGAUUUGAGAGGAUGAUCAGCCACAUUGGGACUGAGACACGGCCCAAACUCCUACGGGAGGCAGCAGUGGGGAAUCUUGCACAAUGGAGGAAACUCUGAUGCAGCGAUGCCGCGUGAGUGAAGAAGGCCUUUGGGUUGUAAAGCUCUUUCGUCGGGGAAGAAAAUGACUGUACCCGAAUAAGAAGGUCCGGCUAACUUCGUG